UGGGGAAUAUUGCACAAUGGGCGGAAGCCUGAUGCAGCAACGCCGCGUGCGGGAUGAAGGCCUUCGGGUUGUAAACCGCUUUCACCAGGGGCGAAUGUGACGGUACCUGGAGAAGAAGCACCGGCUAACUACGUGCCAGCAGCCGCGGUGAUACGUAGGGUGCGAGCGUUGUCCGGAUUUAUUGGGCGUAAAGAGCUCGUAGGUGGUUUGUUGCGUCGGAAGUGAAAACUUGGGGCUUAACUCCAGGCUUGCUUUCGAUACGGGCAGACUUGAGGGAUGUAGGGGAGAACGGAAUUCCUGGUGGAGCGGUGGAAUGCGCAGAUAUCAGGAGGAACACCGGUGGCGAAGGCGGUUCUCUGGACAUUUCCUGACGCUGAGGAGCGAAAGCGUGGGGAGCAAACAGG
rnacentral:rRNA from 1 species